rnacentral:rRNA from 1 species
GUGGGGAAUCUUGCGCAAUGGGCGAAAGCCUGACGCAGCCAUGCCGCGUGGAUGAUGAAGGUCUUAGGAUUGUAAAAUCCUUUCACCGGUGAAGAUAAUGACUGUAGCCGGAGAAGAAGCCCCGGCUAACUUCGUGCCAGCAGCCGCGGUAAUACGAAGGGGGCUAGCGUUGCUCGGAUUUACUGGGCGUAAAGGGCGCGUAGGCGGACAUUUAAGUCAGGGGUGAAAUCCCGGGGCUCAACCUCGGAACUGCCUUUGAUACUGGGUGUCUUGAGUAUGAGAGAGGUGUGUGGAACUCCGAGUGUAGAGGUGAAAUUCGUAGAUAUUCGGAGGAACACCAGUGGCGAAGGCGGCUCACUGGCUCGAUACUGACGCUGAGGUGCGAAAGCGUGGGGAGCAAACAGGAUUAGAAACCCGAGUAGUCC